GUGGGGAAUCUUCCGCAAUGGACGAAAGUCUGACGGAGCAACGCCGCGUGAGUGAUGAAGGUCUUCGGAUUGUAAAGCUCUGUUAAUCGGGACGAAAGAGCCUAGUGUGAAUAAUGCUAGGAAGUGACGGUACCGGAAUAGAAAGCCACGGCUAACUACGUGCCAGCAGCCGCGGUAAUACGUAGGUGGCAAGCGUUGUCCGGAAGUAUUGGGCGUAAAGCGCGCGCAGGCGGAUCUGCCAGUCUGUCUUAAAAGUUCGGGGCUUAACCCCGUGAUGGGAUGGAAACUACAGAUCUAGAGUAUCGGAGAGGAAAGUGGAAUUCCUAGUGUAGCGGUGAAAUGCGUAGAUAUUAGGAAGAACACCAGUGGCGAAGGCGACUUUCUGGACGAAAACUGACGCUGAGGCGCGAAAGCCAGGGGAGCGAACGGGAUUAGAUACCCGUGUAGUCC
rnacentral:rRNA from 1 species